rnacentral:lncRNA from 1 species
UCGACGAUCGGCUCCGUUAUACUUCAUCUACACUAUUAAAAGUAUUUGAAAACUAAAUUUCAUAAUUUUUCGAUAUCAUUUACCUAUCAAACAAAUAGUCUAAAAUUGAAUGGCCGAAAAUAAAAAUCUCAUAAAAAAUGAUGAUAAAAAUUUUAAAUUCAAGAUCAGAUAUACUGAUCUUACUCUAAAUAGUGAAAAAAAAAUUUCUAUAAAAUUUUCAU